ensembl:snoRNA
AUCCUUCUGUGGUGCAUAAGCAUGAUGAUUGGGUGUUCACACUAUUGUGUGAGCUGUGCCUCCCUCAGACCUGUUAUGACAUUGGCACAUUAUUGAUCUGACA